rnacentral:lncRNA from 1 species
GAGGUUAUCAGUGACCCAUUUAGAGUGAAACAGCAGUUUUUUAUUUGACUAAAGGAGAUUUUAUAUCUUUGACAGGAUCAGAGGAAUAUCAGGGGGCUGAAAAUGACACAAAAAGAUAUUAAAAACAUCUUAAAAAGGAUCUUUUUUUUAACAAAUCAGUGUGUCAGGAAUUAAAGAUAACAUGAAGUCCCCCUCAGCAGACUCUCGUUUGUACUUUGAUAAGGAUUUAAAAUAAUACAAUAAUUUCAUUUUCUCAUUUUAUCAUCGAGAGAGAAAAAAAACAGAGAUAAUGGAGAGAAUAGAAGCUCGUCACGACAUCUGGGAGCUGCGUCAAAAUGAGGUAGUUUACGGUAAAACCAUGUGACCUCACCGAUGUUUGUAAACAUGCGUCAGCCACAUGUGAUGAGGAAAGACUCUCCAGCUGCUCGACCAAUCAGAAAGCGGGGGAGUGUCAGGGGCGUGUCCGCUCCGUGUUGCGCUAUGGAAAAUCAUUAGAGGAUCCACUUGGAUGAAUGUGCGCUCUCUGAAUAAAACAACAACAAGAGGAAGAACAGGGGGGACUGACGGACUGAUGGAGGUCUGAGGGGGGGGGACACCGGCUCCGGGAUGGAUGAGACCCUCAGAGACCCUUCUGUCCGGGACACAAAGACGUAAGUUUGUGAUUUUUCAUGUUUUCAUUAAAAGGAGCAGAGCGAGAGAAACGCUGCGUAUGAGGAGAAAAACCGAGAAAGAGAGAAAAGUGGAGAGAAAAGAGAGAAAAGAGAGAAAAGAGAGGAAAGAGGGAGAGGGUCUGUCUCUGAGAGGACAGAGAAGAGUUGGAGUAGAUCGUGAGUGUUUCAUCACCGACAUGACAACAGGUAAAUUAAACUGCGUCAGCGGAGGGACCGACAAACACAUGGAGUCCGGGGGGAAUUUCCGCUGCUGGGAUGGACCAACAUGCUGUGAAGGUCCGGGUUCGGCUCGGCUCCGAACUGGACUCGAAUCUGAUUAUUAAUGUGAAGAAAUAAAGAUGUAAACAAAGCGUGGAGUCGGCGGUGGAGGGGGGCAUGGCGUGAGAGAGAGAGAGAGAGUGAGAGAGAGAGAGAGAGCUCGGAAUAGGAUGCUGCGCAAGAGAUGGACACAGUGCGUAAUCCUGUUGUGGAGAGGAGGACGAUGUUACGCAGUUGGGAUUGGCACGAUCAUUUCACACCUCGUGUUUCGGACUGACCGCCCGCAGAAGUCUCUCUGCACUGAUUCAGGAUGCGGACUCUCUCCAAACAUGGUCACAGAAUGAGGCACAGGAUGUUCUUUUACCGGAGAGUCCAGGAAAACUUCAGAUCCAGGAGAAGCAGGUCCACAGUGACCCGGCUGGUUCCGUUUUCAGGGGUAUCAGACCACAUCUGCUGCGUCACAAACAUCCCCACAGCUCUUUAGGGGGAAUCUGACUGUUAGUGCGCACUUGAUAUGAUGAAAACAAGCUCGAUUUACUGACCACAGGGGGCGCUGUUGAGUCAGAAAACAAUGGGGAUGUAUAUCUUCUAUAAGGGGCUGUUUACAUUCUCAUGUUCUUGGUUUUCUCCAGAACAUUCAACACUUGGACUCUCUCACCUGACCCGGUUUCUGCUCCUCCAGGACUCGAACCCGUCCUCUCCUAAAGUCAAAGACUCUUUAAUCUUUAACAUUUCUGGAGUUUUAAAGUCUCCAAACUGUUGCUGCUCUCUGACAAACACCCAGCAUGUUUGUGUAACGCAGCACAAUAGGACCCCGACACACCUGAUGUGAUGUCACUCAGGUGGAUGACACCCCCAUGUGAAGGAAGCCCCUCCUCUGAUGACGGCGUAAAUGAGACACAGUUCUUGUAAAGUGGAUUUGUUCAGUCAGUGGGUGAAUCAGCGGUCGACCUCACGAGCUGUUAAAGCACUGGCAGCGGAUUGGAGAGAGAGAGAGAGAGAGAGAGAGAGAGAGAGGAGGGGAGGGGGGAGCUUUCGAGCUUUAAUUAUGUGUACUGAAUAGAAACUUGACUCCCCAGGGAAAGUCACUAUGGUAGUUUUGAAACAAACAGGUAAAGGUCACGGCUGGAAACGAAGAAAGACUCUCAGACGCGGGUUUGAAUUUACCGUCAGUCCUCAUGUUUACCAUCUCCACUGGGGCCCAACUCCAGAACAAGUGACCCACUUUCACACACAAGGAAACGUGACCUCAAUAGUUAUGUUGCUGUUCUUUCAGGGAGGGGCGCUGAAGUCAAACAAACAGACGAGGCCAGAACAAGUGGGCUAAACGAGCGAGACCUCCUUUUAUUCAGAGAAGAAGAAGAAGAAGAAAAGAUCCUGCUCUUUUCAGACGGAGUGAACGCCGCUCAGGGACGAGAGGAGGGGGGGGCUCUAAUGAUGGAUGUUUACAGCAGCAGGAGCAGGGAAAGGGGGGCGGGGCAUCACCUGUAGCCCCCCAGACGAGAGGAAAUGGCGAGUGACCCACUGCCUCUUCAAACAGACCCCUCCCACACACAGAUUAUCGCAGGUGGCGGCGAGCCAAGAGAUGACGGGGCUAAAAUUAAACCUGGAGACUGCUGGCCUCGCUGCUCGACGACGACGACGACGACGAUGAUGAUGAUGAUGAUGAUGAUUAUGAUGAUGAUGUAUUAAUAGACAGGCGGGGUGGGGGGGGCAGCGUUCGUUUACAGUCGUCAUCAUCAGACGGACACCUAACAGGCUGCAAAACAGGUGGAAAAACCCCGUAAUCAACCGAGCCGAGACCCUUCAGGGACACCUCCUGAUUGGUCGCUUUGCCUCUCUCUGCAGGUGUGGCGUCUUCGGGGGUUAAAGGGAAGUUCCGUCAAAUUUUGAGAGUGUUUACGUCCAGAUAAGUUUCAAAACAUGAGAGAGAAAAAAAGAGUCAGAUUGAGUGUUUUCUCAGAAACCUGAUCUCAGAGUUAGGACACCCUUCAGGCACUUUUAAAUCCUCAAUUAUUUGGAGUUAUCCAGCCCGUGAACGAAGCCCCUCCCAUCAUCUGACAGACACGCAGAGCCGGAGCCAGAAGAGGGGGACAAAGAGUUAACCAGCAUGUUCUCUGAAGUUUCAGCCUUAUACCAUCCCAUCUCCGAUUUCCAAACAUUUGGCAAUCUGUUGCUCUGAAGGAGAGAUGAUGAUGAUGCAACGUAGAAGGAGAUAUGUAAGCGAUUACAUAAUGGGAGCAUAAUAGUACUUAGAGUACUCUGUGUCCUAAAGAAGCAGGAAGUGAAGUCUGCUCUGUUACCUUUGGCUUUAAUUGGCCCUCUCAGCCCCGUGAUUCCUUUAUGAUUCGGCUUUUUUGACGGCGGCUCUUAUGUAAGAGCGGGAAUGAUUAGUGGGACUGUGUUCAGGUCGUCACGGAGACGUUCUGCUCUCGUUUAGAAACACAAAUCUGUUUUCCUCCGAUAGAUCCGAGUGUUUGGAGGUGAUUUAAAAACACAUUACCUCGAUGAGUUUGCCCCCCUCACUCCUGAUAAAUUAGGACCUCUAAUCUGUAAGAGGAUUAACCACCUUCCCCAUUUGCACGUGCACACAUGCGCACGGCCCCGCCCCCUCCACUGUUACACACAGACAUGCACUGUUCCUGUAACUUAACCUACUUUUACAUGGCUGUUGUCGGAGCCAUUUGGCAGGUUUGUGGAAGAUUUUCCAACGUGUGGAGGUUAUUGUGCGUGAACUAACAGGCCUAAAUACCCGUGUUUCAUGUCGGGGUCGUGUUCAGGUCAAAGAGCGGCGAGAGAUUUCGGCAGAUUAGAGAAAGAAGAGAGAGAAGAAUAAAAACAAAGAGGGAAGAAUCAGCUCUUAAACACCUUUAUUUAUAAUUUAGUGACUAAAAACAUGUUUCUGUCUAUAUUAUCUUCAUACUUAUCGUCUCAGAGCCUGUCAGUUAUGGUCGGAUGGUAAUAUAAUCUAUAUCUAUAUAUCUAUAUUUAUCUCCAGGGUCAAAGGGCAACUUCUCCAGCCUUCCGCUGAAACAAUAAAAGGUUCACAGUGAAGGUUUUUCGUGUGUUGAGAAACAGAGUUUGAGAGCCGGUUAUUAGCUGCACUUAUUUCUGUUUAAAGACGAUGUCAGAGUCCGAAAGUUCGGACAACCUGCCGAACUUUCAUACCGUUUUUGCUCUGCACACAACAGUUCUCUACGUCAUGAAGCCGUCGCUCGUUAAAAAGUCCUUCUGUCAUCACGAUUCGGCGUUUUGGGUCGUUGCAAAAGUUGUUCCAAUGUAUUUUCGUAUUUCGCUCAAACUCUUCAAAGCUAAUGUUACCGUUAGCCUGAAUCUACAUCUUACAAUAGUGUUAGUAAGUUAGUUACUUAGUUAAUGAGUCAGUUAGUUAGCUGGUUAGUUACUUAGUUA